UUUUAUGGAGAGCAACUUCUGAAGACGCGAGAGGGAGAAAGAGAGAUUACAAUCUGUUUUGACGUGGAGUCCGCUUCUUCUUCACCAUUCCUCCCAGUGACACACACACACACACACACACACACACACACACAGAGAGAGAGAGAGAGAGAGAGAGAGAGAGAGAGAGAGAGAGAGAGAGAGAGUGGGAGUUUCGGGCCUCUUUCUGUUCUGUAAAACUUUAUAGCGAGCUGGGGCCCAGUUGUCAUGGUAACGGGUUAUACGAGCUUGACCGGGGGUGUUGAUGGGUGGAGGGAGGGGGGUCCACCAUUUGCAGUUUGAGUUGUGUGUGUCGGCAACUCUUCUUCUGUUUAUAAUUAUGUGAAAGUGGGGGAGAGAGAGAUCGUGUGUGUGUGUGUGUGUGUGUGUGUGUGUGUGAGAGAGAGAGAGAGGACAUGUGUCAAAGGGAGAGAUCAUUGGAAUGUCACUUUUGAAAGCAGAAUACUCCUCUCCAUAGCUUCUUGCACACACACUCUCUCUCUAUCGCACACACACACACACACACACACACACACACACACACACACACACACACACACACACACACAGCCCGGGCCAGUAAACCCCCCGCUCCUGGAGGUUGCUCACUGCCGUGCUUCCUGCGUCCGUUCCUGCGCCCGAUGAGCCCGGUCAGAGCUUCCCCGGACCGCGCGGUUGACUGUGCUUGGUUGUCGGCCCGAGCCCACCAGAGAAAGGCGCUCCUCUGUAGCGUGAACCUGACCCGACAGCGCCGCCUGGAGAUCCGCUGGAGCGUCUACCUGACUGACAGGUGAAGAAAUCUGGUUCCAGAAUCGAAGGGUGAGGGCAAGGAAGCAGCGUCACCUCAGCAUCUGGACUGAUAAAGAUGACCCUCCACCUCAGACUGCAUGACGCUGGCACCCGGGGAGGAUGAAGAAGACGAGGGUGCGAGAUACAUCUAACUGAACGUGCAAUGUUUGUACAUGCAGUUUUACAAAACUUUCACACGCUGGACGCACACACACACACACACACACACACACACACACACAAAACUCGAGUUCACUCCUGUGUGCGUUGUUGGAUUAUUAGCAGAUCAACACCAAACAAGUAAUCUGGACUCCUGCACUGAACUGAGGUGGCCUAUUAUCGGAAGGAUUCAAGUCUGGGCUGAUGAGCCGCACUUAAUCGUCCAGGAGGAGGAGACGACCUCAGAAGAAAGACUGGACGGGCUGGAUAUACUGGCAGGCAGCUCGGUCUCAUCCUCUCUGUCGUCAGCUGGCUAAAUGCAACACUCGGAGCAGUUAUGUUGCAUGAGAAGCGACCCACGGGGCUUCUAUGUGAAGCUUUGAUCAGGAACAUAUGGCUGAACUUCCUCUGCUGCUGCAAUGGCCAGCUGCUGUCUGUUAGGAGAGGAGAAGAGAGGAGGAAAAGAAAGACACUGGAAUAAAGGAAUGCAAUGCUGACUGUAACUCUGCAGAGAGAAAAUAGAGCCAAUAAAAAGAGUAGAGUGGGACAGGCAGGAGGAAACAGAAGUAAACAAGUAGAGUAAAUGGAAGAAGAGAAUAAAUAAGGAAGGAGUAGGGACAGCCUCAGGUCUGCAGGCGCCAUGUUGAGACAGCAGCAUUUCUGCAGCGCCACACUGUCUCCUGCCUCAUCGCUGUCCCUUCUGCCUCUCUGUCCAUCUGCAAGCCUCUUUCCGUUUCCCAUCUGUCUCCCUCUCCCACCUUUACUUUUUACCACGGGGGUAAUUGACCAACUCGUUUAUUGGUGGCUAGAGGACGUGGAGGAGGCAGUUGUACUAGUGGUAUAUAUUACUGUAUAGUGUGGUUUUACGGCUGCCUUAUUGCCCCUUAUUGCCUGUUGAUAGUCAACAAAAGACACUCCAAAGAACGGUUUGUGCCUCCUGGAAAGUCUGCCUUCUUUAUUGUCCUUCCUGUCUGUCUCAUUGCCUUUAAUGGUCAGCUUUGUCUCUUGCAUCCACAUUGCUGAGACUAAACAGAUACAACUUCUUCUCUCUUUUUCACAGAGGGGCUCAUCAAUGAAACUAUGCCCUGAAAUUAAAUAAAAUUCUUCUUUUUUAAUUGACCUCAGGUGUCACUGCUUCUUCACAGAGUUCAUCAUGUAUCAUCAUUUUGCUGCUUCACAUGAAGCAACAGGAAGAGAGCGAGAGGUUUUCCAAACUCCUUUUUGCAUCAGGGUCACACAGUUGGAUAUUCAUUAAGCCAAGCAGGAGCCUGGUGCUGAAGGGAUUUUACUUGUUAGAUAUGAUUUACUGCAGCAGCCUGACCUCCUGCUGCUGGAUUCAGUCAAAUGCUCUCUAAUCAUUUGAUUACAACCAGAGGACGGCAAUACCCGUCUUGCAACAGUCAAAAACCUAUUGUUCUUGUGUUACAGUUAAACUAUACUUCAAUAAAAACAGCAUUUGCAUUUGUCAAACUUAAAGAUGACUCUUAGCAUUUAUGAUUCUGUGCCAUAAAUGUGAACAAGUUUGGGGGGAUAACAGAGAAUUAGGUGGUAAACACCAAAUUUAUAGAACUACAAAUAUGUGCUAAUGUAUCUGUAAAGUCAUAAACAUGAGACAAAAUAAAAGUAAAC
rnacentral:lncRNA from 1 species